AUUGAACGCUAGCGGGAUGCUUUACACAUGCAAGUCGAACGGCAGCGCGGACUUCGGUUUGGCUGCCAGUGGCGAACGGGCGAGUAAUUUAUCGGAACGUCCCCAUUUGCUUGUUCUAACUACGCGAAAGCGUAGCUAUUACCGCAUUAGCCCUUCGGGCGAACGCAGGGAAUCAUAAGACCUUGCACUCUUGCACCGUCCGAUAUCGGAUUAGCUAGUUGGUGAGGUAACGGCUUACCAAGGCGACGAUCCGUAGCUGGUUUGAGAGGACGACCAGCCACACUGGAACUGAGACACGGCCCAGACUCCUACGGGAGGCAGCAGUGGGGAAUUUUGGACAAUGGGCGCAAGCCUGAUCCAGCCAUACCGCGUGGGCGAAGAAGGCCUUCGGGUUGUAAAGCACUUUUGGCAGGAAAGAAACGUCGCAGGCUAAUACCCCGUGGAACUGACGGUACCUGAAGAAUAAGCACCGGCUAACUACGUG
rnacentral:rRNA from 1 species